UACGUAGGGGGCUAGCGUUGUCCGGAAUCGUUGGGCGUAAAGAGCGUGUAGGCGGUUUGUCGCGUCUGCUGUGAAUUUCGGGGCUCAACCCCGAACUUGCAGUGGGUACGGGCAGACUAGAGUGUGGUAGGGGAGACUGGAAUUCCUGGUGUAGCGGUGAAAUGCGCAGAUAUCAGGAGGAACACCGAUGGCGAAGGCAGGUCUCUGGGCCACUACUGACGCUGAGAAGCGAAAGCUGGGGAGCGAACAGG
rnacentral:rRNA from 1 species